UGGCCGUAAACGAUGUGGACUUGGUGUUGGGAUGGCUCCGAGCUGCCCCAGUGCCGAAGGGAAGCUGUUAAGUCCACCGCCUGGGAAGUACGGUCGCAAGACUGAAACUUAAAGGAAUUGGCGAGGGAGCACCACAACGGGAGGAGCGUGCGGUUUAAUUGGGAUUCAACACCGUAAAACUCACCAGGGAAGACUGUUACAUGAAGGCCGAGAUGAAGACUCUGCUAGAUUUUCAGAGAGGUGGUGCAUGGCGUCAGUGACU
rnacentral:rRNA from 1 species